ACUCUUAGCACACACUUGAAUUCCUCCAUCUCUUUCCUACACACGGUGAAGAAUAGACAGACAAAACACAGAGAAAGAGAGAUAGAGAUAGAGAUAGAGGCAGCAAUCAGCUGCACCCUGAAGCUUAAGUCGACCUCACCAACCCCUCACCUAGCCUGAACCAUUUUUGUGCUCCGACCGCGACACUCACACACGCGACCACAAGCUCUUUUUCUCUCUCGUUUCUGUUCUAAUUUCCUUGGUAUAUUCUGAGUUUUUGGAAAUUUCCUUUGUUUCGAGCGCAAAAUGGCUCAAAUCAUGGGCAUAUUCAAGCUCGAAGCUUGUGGCAUAGUUUAGGAGGUUGGGCUGUUAGUGCUUGACCUUCUUUCUGACUUUCUCUUUCUCUCGAGCUUUAUCCCUUUACAACUUUCUCUCUUUGAAUGGCUGACCAGAGAAUGGUCGCUGUGAACUUGGAUCCGGAGAGGAAGAGGAGUGGGGGUUUGAGGACGAAGCAGGCGGGGAGAGGAUCUUGCCGCGGUAGUUAGGCAUAAGUUGCUGGCAAAUGAUCGGUCUCCGCCGGUGGUGAAUUUUUCUGUCUCUGUUUCUCUGUCUAUCCGUCUCGAUCUUUCACUCUCUCUCUCCCGUGCGUGCGUACUUGUGGUGUCCAAAUAGUUCGUUGACGCGUGUGAUUCCGAGCUCCAAGCUAUGGGGUUCUUACUAAAAGAGGUGCUCAAGACGCUGUGCGGUCCGAGUCAGUGGUCCUAUGCUGUGUUCUGGAAGAUCGGAUGCCAAAACCCUAAGCUAUUGAUUUGGGAAGAUUGUUACUAUGAACCCUCCGCAAGUUCUGCACUAUACAUUGCUGGAUCUGAGACCUUUAGAGAGUGUGAGAGAUCCUGGGAUUCUCCUGAAAUUCGUUCCUCUCAGCUUCGGAUUCAAGCAGGAGACAGUGUGCAUUCACUUAUUAAUGUUAUGAUGAGUAACAAUCAAGUUAAUGUUGUGGGUGAAGGGAUAGUAGGUCGAGCAGCAUUUACAGGAAACCAUCAGUGGAUUCUUUCAAACAAUUACACUGGGGCUGUCCAUCCACCAGAGGUUCUGAAUGAGGUUCUUCACCAAUUUGCAGCUGGGAUUCAGACAGUGGCAGUUAUUCCCAUUCUUCCGCAUGGUGUUGUUCAACUUGGUUCUUCUUUGUCUAUCAUGGAGAAUAUUGGAUUCGUGAAUGAUGUGAGAAGUUUAAUCCUGCAGCUAGGAUGUGUACCUAGUGCUCUUUUUUCUAACAAAUAUGAAACAAAAGAUACUGCUGAAAAAAUUGGGGUUCCAUUUCUUGGAGUGCCGGUAUCCGUGGAACCUUCUGAAGUGACAAAUUCCUUGCCUUUGAUGGUUGACAUCUGCAAUCAACAAAGCAAUUUAUCUCAUGAUUCAUUGCUUGUUUGCCAAUCAUCUCAUCCUCUAAUAAGAGAGACUCAAAAUAAAAAAUUUCAUCCUCCUGAUCAGGCCCAAAUGUUGCCCCAAUGCCAUGAUGAGCAUUGCCAACCAAAAGCUACUCCCAUUGUGAAACCAAACUUUCCUAUAAACAGCCAACUAGAGAAUGGGGUUGUGGGAGCUGAAGUGAUUCCUUCAAAUCCUGGUGCAUGGCUGAACCAGCAGGCAUGUUUCUACAGUUCUAGAUCUGGUUAUAAUAAUCAACCUGGUUUUAGCCAAUUGGGUGGAAGUAAGACCACCCAAAAUUCAAUGGAGCAACAGAUUUUCUCGGGUUUUUCUGUACAAGAUCAUCUCAACAAAAACUCCAGUGAAUCAAGUACCUUUAAAAUGUCUCGACUGAGAACCAGUGGAGGCCUAAUGCUUGAUCCUCACAUUGAUUCUGUUACAUCUUUGUGGGGGGAAAGUAAGUUACACGAUGGAAUCAGUAAUCAUUUAAGGCCAAAUUCAAUUGCUUGCACCCUUCCAACCCCACAUAGAGCAGCUGACACUAAUCUUUCUGGUAUACAUCUCACUGACACAGAGGUUCAGUAUGUUCAUUCAUCCAAAACAAGGGGGGUUUCCUUAAGUAGUCAUGCAGAUAAAGUACCUGCAGGUCACAUGCUUUCGGGAGAAGAUCAGAGACCUAUUUCCACAGUUAUGAAGAAUAACGAAAAUGAGUUGGUCCCCAGGGAACAGAAGAUGGAUACUGAUUCAUUUCAGGUCCUUGAUAUCCUGUACGCCCAUCCAGAGAAGCAUAUGUCCAUGAGCAAGCACAGCCCUGGUCUUUUUGCUCAUUGCCAGAACUGUGAUAAUGGAAGUCGGACUCCAUCAACAAUUGGUAAACAUGAAUAUACAUCUGCACAGCCUCCGUCAGGGGACGACUUAUUUGAUAUUUUGGGUGUGGAAUUUAAAAAUAAGCUGCUCAAUGACCCCAGGAAUAAUUUUCUUGCUGAUGGGCCAGAUGCAAAUUUGCAAAAUCUGGGUGAGAAUUCUUCAGUGUUAAUGGGUAUACUAGAUGUGGGUGCAGAUUUAUUUUCAGAAUGUGAAGGGGUAUCAGAGAGUGGCAUCUUCUCUGGGAUGGGCAGUGACCAUCUUCUGGAUGCUGUGGUCUCCAGGGCUCACUCUACUUCCAAGCAGAGGUUGGAUGAUGAUGUGUCGUGCAGGACAGCAUUGACAAAUAUCAGUAGCUGUCCUGCACGGACAAAUAUCAGUAGCUCCUCUGUUCCUAGUAGUUCUGCCACCUAUGGACAGGUUGGUAUGUCUGAUCAUGUGCAAGGAGAGUUAUUUGGUCUUCCUAAGCCUCAAGUAAAAAAAGUAGGGACUGUAGAAGCUAGUUCUCUUAGAUCUGGAUGUAGCAAGGAUGAUGCAGGAAACCUUUCUCAAGCUACUUCCAUUUAUGGAUCUCACAUCAGUUCGUGGGUUGAGCAGGGUAAUAAUGUGAAGUGCGAUAAUAGUGUCUCUACGGCAUAUUCUAAGAAGCCUGAUGAAAUCAACAAAUCAAACCGUAAAAGGCUUAAACCUGGGGAAAAUCCAAGACCCAGGCCAAAGGAUCGGCAGAUGAUCCAAGAUCGUGUGAAAGAAUUGCGGGAAAUCGUGCCAAAUGGUGCAAAAUGUAGCAUAGAUUCACUACUUGAACGCACCAUUAAGCAUAUGCUUUUCUUGCAAAGUGUCACAAAGCAUGCUGACAAGCUAAAACAGACUGGGGAUUCCAAGAUUGUUAGUAAAGAUGGUGGACUGCUUUUGAAAGACAAUUUUGAGGGAGGCGCGACUUGGGCAUAUGAGGUUAGCUCACAAUCCAUGGUCUGCCCCAUCAUAGUUGAGGAUCUGAAUCCACCUCGUCAGAUGCUUGUGGAGAUGCUUUGUGAAGAACGGGGUUUCUUCCUAGAAAUAGCUGAAAUAAUCAGAGGAUUGGGUUUGACCAUAUUGAAGGGGGUGAUGGAAGCUCGGAAUGACAAAGUAUGGGCACGCUUUGCGGUUGAGGGUGACUUGUGAGAGAGAAAUAGAGUGGUAGGGUCCAAUUGCCCGGGGCAACUCCUCGAGCAGGUGAAUCUGGUCACAUUCUAUAUCAGAACUUUAUUUCCCUUGCAUAAAGUCAUCCCGACUUCUGUAUCGUUUUGAAGUAAUUCCCCAACUUUUUCCUGUGGUCAAGCCUUGUUGAAAAGCAAAUAGGGACAUAACGAGGAUGGAAAUAUUUAUGUCUCUAGUUCGCCUUUUAGAGCAAACUGUGAAGCCGUGCAGCAUCAGCUAAUGCAAUUGAUACCAACAAUAUGUGGUCCACUCUUUCCCCUGAGCUGCCCCGAUACCUGCAACUGGAAAGCUCAGUAGUGUGCAAUGAAUUGCCUACUGUACAGUUCUUGGCGUGGAUAUGUUGAGAGUGAGCCCAGAUAUGCUGCUUGCUAUGACUAACAUGGAUUCCAGUCUAAGGCUGCAGUGGCUCUUCAUUUAACUUUUGACCAACUCGUGUCUCCCCACAAACCAAACCCUAUUAUGACUGAGGUUUGUGGGGUUGGCGUUGUUUAGUUAGUAAAAUGCUCCUCAAGAACUUUUGUAGGGAAAUGAAUGUUUGAGGAGAGGUAUUAAAGCCAUGGUUGGCACCUCUAAUGGAGGCGGCCAUCCAUGACAAACCUUGGAUGGAUGACCUUAGAUUUAUUUAAUUUAAUGUGAUGGUUAUUUGUUAAGAGGGAUUUGGAUGAUACACUUUUGGGUUCUGUUGUUCAAAUUUGUACAGAAGCUGUGGAACGUGAAUUUGGAGGUGUUGAAGUGCUUAGGCAAACAAUACGAUCUGUCUUUUAUUCUUA